rnacentral:rRNA from 1 species
GAUGAACGCUGGCGGCGUGCCUAACACAUGCAAGUCGAGCGAUCUCUUCGGAGUGAGCGGCGGACCGGUGAGUAACGCGCGGGUAACCUGCCCUGUACACACGGAUAACAUACCGAAAGGUAUGCUAAUACGGGAUAAUAUAUAAAAGUCGCAUGGCUUUUAUAUCAAAGCUUUUGCGGUACAGGAUGGACCCGCGUCUGAUUAGCUAGUUGGUAAGGUAACGGCUUACCAAGGCGACGAUCAGUAGCCGACCUGAGAGGGUGAUCGGCCACACUGGAACUGAGACACGGUCCGGACUCCUACGGGAGGCAGCAGUGGGGAAUAUUGCACAAUGGGCGAAAGCCUGAUGCAGCAACGCCGCGUGAGCGAUGAAGGCCUUCGGGUCGUAAAGCUCUGUCCUCAAGGAAGAUAAUGACGGUACUUGAGGAGGAAGCCCCGGCUAACUACGUGCCAGCCGCCGCAGUAA